rnacentral:lncRNA from 1 species
UUGUUAAGUUCUCCCAUCUUGAAAUCCAUGAAUUUUUCAAUUAUUUCCAUUGAAUCUCCUUAAAACAUUUCAUGAAAUUAUAAUAAAAUUACAACUGAAAAAAUAUAAAUGAAGAAAAUAAAAAAUAUUUUCUUCUUGGUGAGAUGCGGAUAUCUCCCUCUCUUUAAGGAGAUUCAAGCCCACUGCAGCAAAUGAUUUCAACUGUCCAGCAAUAAUCUUCUUGACUUGUCCCCUCCAGGAUACAACAGUCUUCUCACAAAGUACAACUCAACAAACUCUGGAAAAGAGUUGAGUUCAAAGAUCAACUAAAAAGAACAUCUCCCUUCAUCUAAUAAACUCACUUUUUAAUAACUUUUGUGAACUCUAUAGUUUCUUGUACUUAGAAAAAUAUGCAAGACCACCACUAUUUAUAGGAGAGAAAGUCUUCCAUGCAAUGAAUAAAAAUAAAUGAGGGAUAUUAAAGAUGGAAGAACAAUGGCCUCAUGGUUAUAAGAGUUUAAAAACUUAUGAUCACAUUCUACCACCCUAACUAAUGCGAUUAAUUGCCUAAUAAUACCAUCAAAGUAAAAAAGAUGUCCAGCAAAAGGACACCACGUCCCUAUGGCAUAAUUUGGCCAAUAAACUCACUAUAAUAAUGUACUUUAGUAAGAUGUGAACUGCAGAAUAAUGAAAUGCUUUGCAACCUGCAUCCAUCACUAAAGAAAGACACAUCAAUUCAACGUAUAGGGGUAAAUUGGCAUAAAGUCUUAGCUGAUCAAAAAGUAAGCAUAAUAAUAUUAAAAACUUAAUAUUUAAAUACUAACUAAUCUACAAAAUAUUUUGUAAAGCAACUCAAAACUUUUGCUCAUCUAACUCCCAUGAAGCUGAAUGCAUAAGUUGUACACAAACCUAGAGUCACAGUGUCACACUCAUGCCUGCUUGCAUGAAGAAUUCAUAAAAGUGCC